rnacentral:piRNA from 1 species
UGAGAACUACAUGACUCUCUGAGGACUAU